rnacentral:rRNA from 1 species
GUAUACACAUAUAUAGUGUUCUUGUUAUUUGACCUGUGAUUAGUCGUUCAUGUCUUAUAUAUACUGUAUAUAUCGAUCUAGAGUAUGUAAGCUUUACUCCCUGUGUUACAUUGUCAUGUUUGACAGUGAACAGUUGUUUUAUUCAUUCUUUGUGUGUACAGAAGCCUGACUUGUUUAUAGUAGUAGUGUGUUGUUAUAAAAACUACUUAAUGUGAGUGUGUGUGUGUGUGUGUGUGUGUAUGCUCGUCUUAUGAUUAACUAUCUUGGUUUUAUAUUAUCUAGUUCACAGAGGGUUUCAUUGUUCGGAGUUGAUCAGUCUAGAGUCUAGUGUAUGUGGUAUAAUAUGUUCAUGAAUUUGUCUCGUUUGUCGUCCAACGUUCAUGUGAAGUUUAGACUUAUAAUUUACAGUAUGUGAAGAUUUAAAAUGUCUUUAAAGUGCUUCUCUCUCUCUCUCUCGUCGUCCUCCUCCAACCUCAAGUCUCGUCGUCGUUGCACCUCCCAACUCCCUCUUCUCCCUCGUCGUCGCCAUCCCCUCUCCUCCGUCGUCGUCGUCCAACUCCUCUUCUUCCUUCCGUCGUCCCCGCACCCCUAGUCGUCCCUCCGCGUUCCUCUUCCUCGUUUUCCCUUAUGCUCGUCGUCGUUCCCCUAAGUCUCUGCUCCCUUCCUCCUCGUCGUCGUCACCGUACUCUCCUCGUCGUCUCUCUCAACUCCUUUCCUAGUCGUCAUCCCCUCGUCGCUCAUCGUCUCUGUGUCGUUCUCCUCCUCGCCAAGUCGUCGUCAUCAUCCCUGUUCCUCUUCUUUCCUUCUACGUCGUCAUCUCAAACCCCAUUCUUCCCUCGUCGUCGUCAACUCCUUCCGCUCCCCUUCUUCUCUUCGUCGUCCUGCUUCGUUCUCCCUCCUCGUCGUUGUUGUCUCUCCCUCCCCACCUUCACCACCUACCGCACGAGCGCGGCCUGUGGUCUGCCCGUCAGACCACCCAGACCACCCAGCGCGGUCUACGCCGCCACCGACCUCUACCACCUACCUACCGCGCCUUACUACCACCCCCACGACCACCGCGACCACCACGUCCCACUACCACAACACCACCUACCUCUACCCACUACUCCGCCCUCCGCGUGGUGGUGCGGCCGGACUGGCACCGCCGCCGGCCUCCACCUCUUCCUCCCACUCCCUUUCUCUCGCUA